rnacentral:rRNA from 1 species
GAUGAACGCUAGCGGCAGGCUUAAUACAUGCAAGGCGAAGGGGCAGCAAUGUCACUGUCGUACGGGUGCGUAACGCGUAUGCAACCUACCUAUCACUGGGGGAUAGCCCGGGGGAAACCCGGAUUAAUACCGCAUAAACCAGGGGCACCGCAUGGUGGUAUUUGUUAAAGAUUUAUUGGUGAUAGAUGGGCAUGCGUUCG